rnacentral:rRNA from 1 species
AUUGAACGCUGGCGGCAUGCUUUACACAUGCAAGUCGAACGGUAACAGGUUAAGCUGACGAGUGGCGAACGGGUGAGUAAUGCAUCGGAACGUGCCCGAUCGUGGGGGAUAACGCAGCGAAAGCUGCGCUAAUACCGCAUACGAUCUGAGGAUGAAAGCGGGGGACCGUAAGGCCUCGCGCAAUCGGAACGGCCGAUGGCAGAUUAGGUAGUUGGUGGGAUAAAAGCUUACCAAGCCGACGAUCUGUAGCUGGUCUGAGAGGACGACCAGCCAAACUGGGACUGAGACACGGCCCAGACUCCUACGGGAGGCAGCAGUGGGGAAUUUUGGACAAUGGGCGAAAGCCUGAUCCAGCAAUGCCGCGUGCAGGAUGAAGGCCUUCGGGUUGUAAACUGCUUUUGUACGGAACGAAAAAGCUUCUCCUAAUACGAGAGGCCCAUGACGGUACCGUAAGAAUAAGCACCGGCUAACUACGUGCCAGCAGCCGCCGUAAAAC